rnacentral:rRNA from 1 species
UUGACCUCGGAUCAGGUAGGAAUACCCGCUGAACUUAAGCAUAUCAAUAAGCGGAGGAAAAGAAACCAACUGGGAUUGCCUCAGUAACGGCGAGUGAAGCGGCAACAGCUCAAAUUUGAAAUCUGGCCCUCGCGGGUCCGAGUUGUAAUUUGGAGAGGAUGUUUUGGGCACCGCGGCGGUGUAAAUUUCUUGGAACAGAAUGUCAGAGAGGGUGAGAAUCCCGUCUUGGACCGCCGUAGGACCCGUGUAAAACUCCUUCGACGAGUCGACUUGUUUGGGAAUGCAGGUCAAAAUGGGUGGUAAAUUUCAUCUAAAGCUAAAUAUUGGCCAGAGACCGAUAGCGCACAAGUAGAGUGAUCGAAAGAUGAAAAGCACUUUGAAAAGAGAGUUAAACAGUAUGUGAAAUUGUUGAAAGGGAAGCGCUGGCAACCAGACUCGUACGCGGGGUUCCCCCUUGCUUCUGCUUGGGUUACUUCCCCGCGUCCGGGCCAUCAUCAGUUUUGGGGGCCGGUCAAAGGCCCCGGGAAAGUAUCCUCUCUCUCGGGGGAGGACUUAUAGCCCGGGGUGUCAUGCGGCCUCCCGGGACUGAGGAACGCGCUUCGGCGAGGAUGAUGGCGUAAUGGUUGUCAGCGACCCGUCUUGAAACACGGACCAAGGAGUCUAACAUCUAUGCGAGUGUUCGGGUGUCAAACCCUGGCGCGGAAUGAAAGUGAACGGAGGUAGGAAGGCUUGAGCCUGCACUAUCGACCGAUCCUGAUGUCUUCGGAUGGAUUUGAGUAAGAGCAUAGCUGUUGGGACCCGAAAGAUGGUGAACUAUGCGUGAAUAGGGUGAAGCCAGAGGAAACUCUGGUGGAGGCUCGCAGCGGUUCUGACGUGCAAAUCGAUCGUCAAAUUUGCGUAUAGGGGCGAAAGACUAAUCGAA